UGAACGCUAGCGGCAGGCUUAACACAUGCAAGUCGAGGGGUAUAGUUCUUCGGAACUAGAGACCGGCGCACGGGUGCGUAACGCGUAUGCAAUCUACCUUCACAAAGGGAUAGCCCAGAGAAAUUUGGAUUAAUACCUUAUAGUAAUACGACUUGGCAUCAAGAUGUAUUUAAAGAUUUAUCGGUGAAAGAUGAGCAUGCGUCCCAUUAGCUUGUUGGUAAGGUAACGGCUUACCAAGGCAACGAUGGGUAGGGGUCCUGAGAGGGAGAUCCCCCACACUGGUACUGAGACACGGACCAGACUCCUACGGGAGGCAGCAGUGAGGAAUAUUGGACAAUGGGCGCAAGCCUGAUCCAGCCAUGCCGCGUGCAGGAUGACGGUCCUAUGGAUUGUAAACUGCUUUUGUACAGGAAGAAACCCUUUCACGUGUGGAAGAUUGACGGUACUGUAAGAAUAAGGAUCGGCUAACUCCGUG
rnacentral:rRNA from 1 species